rnacentral:tRNA from 1 species
GAGGUAUUAGUUAAGAGAUAACACCACCUUGUCAAGAUGAAGUCAUGGGUUAAAUCCCCAUAUACCUCU